ACUGGCAGGCUAGAGUCUUGUAGAGGGGGGUAGAAUUCCAGGUGUAGCGGUGAAAUGCGUAGAGAUCUGGAGGAAUACCGGUGGCGAAGGCGGCCCCCUGGACAAAGACUGACGCUCAGGUGCGAAAGCGUGGGGAGCAAACAGGAUUAGAUACCCUGGUAGUCCACGCCGUAAACGAUGUCGAUUUGGAGGUUGUGCCCUUGAGGCGUGGCUUCCGGAGCUAACGCGUUAAAUCGACCGCCUGGGGAGUACGGCCGCAAGGUUAAAACUCAAAUGAAUUGACGGGGGCCCGCACAAGCGGUGGAGCAUGUGGUUUAAUUCGAUGCAACGCGAAGAACCUUACCUGGUCUUGACAUCCACAG
rnacentral:rRNA from 1 species